UACGAAGGGGGCUAGCGUUGUUCGGAUUUACUGGGCGUAAAGCGCACGUAGGCGGGUCGUUAAGUCAGGGGUGAAAUCCCGGAGCUCAACUCCAGAACUGCCUUUGAUACUGGCGACCUUGAGGCCGGAAGAGGUUAGUGGAAUUCCCAGUGUAGAGGUGAAAUUCGUAGAUAUUGGGAAGAACACCAGUGGCGAAGGCGGCUAACUGGUCCGGAUCUGACGCUGAGGUGCGAAAGCGUGGGGAGCAAACAGGAUUAGAAACCCUAGUAGU
rnacentral:rRNA from 1 species